rnacentral:rRNA from 1 species
GCUACGGGUGGCAGCAGUGAGGAAUAUUGGUCAAUGGCCGAGAGGCUGAACCAGCCAAGUCGCGUGAGGGAAGACGGCCCUACGGGUUGUAAACCUCUUUUGUCGGGGAGCAAAGCGAACCACGUGUGGUUCAUUGAGAGUACCCGAAGAAAAAGCAUCGGCUAACUCCGUCCCAGCAGCCGCGGUAAUACGGAGGAUGCGAGCGUUAUCCGGAUUUAUGGGGUUUCUAGGGUGCGCAGGCGGAGGUGCAAGUCACAGGUCAAAUGGCGGGGCUCAACCCCGUACUGCCGUUGAAACUGCAUCCCUUGAGUGCGCGAGAAGUAUGCGGAAUGCGUGGUGUAGCGGUGAAAUGCAUAGAUAUCACGCAGAACUCCGAUUGCGAAGGCAGCAUACCGGCGCGCAACUGACGCUCAUGCACGAAAGCGUGGGUAUCGAACAGGAUUAGAUACCCGGGUAGUC